CUUUAAAACGGGAACCAAAAGCGGCAUUGUUCUCAACAAACCAACCGAUUGGCGGUUCCAUCAUCUUGACUUUCAGAGCUAGUUCUAAAUAACGCGAAACUUUCUCAGCAACUCAGGGACAACAACUAGGGGACCUGACAACCAAGCAAGGCAAAUUUCCCCACCCUUGAUAUCGAUCUUCCAACUUGGGGACUGGGCAACCACGACAGCGAGAGUAAAAGGUAGUGGAGCAAAAUUGCGGGCGGUGCUGCUGCUAGUGUUGGUACGUCAAUGCUUUUUCACAAGUACUCCACCUUAGCUUGGGAAGCGGAUUAAUAAGUGCUUUGCUUUGGUGCUCUAGUCUCUCAUUUCGAAGAUCCAAAAACAAAAAAACGUUGGUGGAGUGGACGAUGGAUCGAUGGGCGAUAGAUUUCUUCGAUUAAUCAAACUUACGAGCGCACACGGAGAAAGAAUUGCGAGACGGCGACGUUUGCGUUGUAGGAAAGGUCAACAUACGAAUUGCAAUCCCGAGUUGAUUAAAAUCGAAAUCAAUGCAAUCGAUACCGGCACCCGAUUC